rnacentral:rRNA from 1 species
GAUGAACGCUGGCGGCGUGCUUAACACAUGCAAGUCGAACGAGCCUUCGGGCUAGUGGCGGACGGGUGAGUAACGCGUGAGAAUCUGCCCUCAGGAGGGGGAUAACGGCUGGAAACGGCCGCUAAUACCCCAUAUGCCGCGAGGUGAAACGAGUUUUCGCCUGAGGAUGAGCUCGCGUCUGAUUAGCUAGUUGGUGGGGUAAGAGCCUACCAAGGCAUCGAUCAGUAGCUGGUCUGAGAGGAUGAUCAGCCACACUGGGACUGAGACACGGCCCAGACUCCUACGGGAGGCAGCAGUGGGGAAUUUUCCGCAAUGGGCGCAAGCCUGACGGAGCAACGCCGCGUGAGGGAUGAAGGCCUCUGGGCUGUAAACCUCUUUUCUCAAGGAAGAAGAACUGACGGUACUUGAGGAAUAAGCCACGGCUAAUUCCGUGCCAGCAGCCGCGGUAAUACGGGAGUGGCAAGCGUUAUCCGGAAUUAUUGGGCGUAAAGCGUCCGCAGGCGGUCUUGAAAGUCUGUUGUUAAAGCGUGGAGCUCAACUCCAUUUCAGCAAUGGAAACUAGAAGACUAGAGUGUGGUAGGGGCAGAGGGAAUUCCCGGUGUAGCGGUGAAAUGCGUAGAUAUCGGGAAGAACACCAGUGGCGAAGGCGCUCUGCUGGGCCAUAACUGACGCUCAUGGACGAAAGCCAGGGGAGCGAAAGGGAUUAGAUACCCCUGUAGUCCUGGCCGUAAACGAUGAACACUAGGUGUCGGGGGAAUCGACCCCCUCGGUGUCGUAGCUAACGCGUUAAGUGUUCCGCCUGGGGAGUACGCACGCAAGUGUGAAACUCAAAGGAAUUGACGGGGGCCCGCACAAGCGGUGGAGUAUGUGGUUUAAUUCGAUGCAACGCGAAGAACCUUACCAGGGUUUGACAUCCUGCGAAUCUUUUGGAAACAGAAGAGUGCCUUCGGGAGCGCAGAGACAGGUGGUGCAUGGCUGUCGUCAGCUCGUGUCGUGAGAUGUUGGGUUAAGUCCCGCAACGAGCGCAACCCACGUCUUUAGUUGCCAGCAUUAAGUUGGGCACUCUAGAGAGACCGCCGGUGAUAAACCGGAGGAAGGUGUGGAUGACGUCAAGUCAUCAUGCCCCUUACAUCCUGGGCUACACACGUACUACAAUGCUACGGACAAAGGGCAGCAAACUCGCGAGAGCUAGCAAAUCCCAUAAACCGUGGCUCAGUUCAGAUCGUAGGCUGCAACUCGCCUACGUGAAGGAGGAAUCGCUAGUAAUCGCAGGUCAGCAUACUGCGGUGAAUACGUUCCCGGGCCUUGUACACACCGCCCGUCACACCAUGGAAGUUGGCCAUGCCCGAAGUCGUUACUCCAACCCUUGUGGAGGAGGACGCCGAAGGUGGGGCUGAUGACUGGGGUGAAGUCGUAACAAG